rnacentral:rRNA from 1 species
ACUCCUACGGGAGGCAGCAGUAGGGAAUCUUCCACAAUGGGCGCAAGCCUGAUGGAGCAACACCGCGUGAGUGAAGAAGGGUUUCGGCUCGUAAAGCUCUGUUGUUAAAGAAGAACACGUAUGAGAGUAACUGUUCAUACGUUGACGGUAUUUAACCAGAAAGUCACGGCUAACUACGUGCCAGCAGCCGCGGUAAUACGUAGGUGGCAAGCGUUAUCCGGAUUUAUUGGGCGCAAAGAGAGUGCAGGCGGUUUUCUAAGUCUGAUGUGAAAGCCUUCGGCUUAACCGGAGAAGUGCAUCGGAAACUGGAUAACUUGAGUGCAGAAGAGGGUAGUGGAACUCCAUGUGUAGCGGUGGAAUGCGUAGAUAUAUGGAAGAACACCAGUGGCGAAGGCGGCUACCUGGUCUGCAACUGACGCUGAGACUCGAAAGCAUGGGUAGCGAACAGGAUUAGAUACCCUGGUAGGAUAGCG